UGUGCUGCGCACGGCGCCAUCAGAUCCGCUCAGAAAGCAAAUGCACCCGGUCUGGACUGCCAGGAGGACUUUCAGCAGAGCAGAAACACAGUCGAAUCUGAUCAUCAUCGAGGAUUGUCUACAGAACAUACACAAGUUCUACAAGCAUGAAUGAGAAACAGAGGAUUAUAAUGUAAUGAGGGGUGAUUUUGCGAUGCUUUACGAGGCACCACUGUGGGAGGCUGAAGAAUCAUCGGCUUGACAGUGAACAGAUUUCCACGAGAUUCCCACGGAGCUCUUGUGAGCGAGAUGAACAACCCGCUGGUGUGAUCGUGCACAUGGAAAGCGCGAUCCACGGCGCGUGAACGCACGCACGGAGAUCCGUGUAUUCUUUGCGCUUUGGACACUUUGGACACCUUUCUUACCGGAUAUUCUAAGAAAUCUUUGUCUGUAGAUACGUUUUCAUAUUUAACUUAUCUGUUUGUAUUUCGCGUCUUUUAUUUAUUUCCAGCGAAACACUAACAGACAAAUUAUGAUGAACUAAAGGGAUUUUUCAAACCCCUCAUAAUAUAGUGUCACUGCACGGACAGCUUUCUUGGUAUCCAUCCAUCCUUCUUUUGAGCUAUAUAGGAUGCAGCAGUAAUGAUCCCGGUCCAGCGCGUUAAAGCUCAGCCUCAGCUGUGGCACGUGAGCGCCGAAGCUCCUCCGUGGCUCUGGAUGGUCCCGAACACCUCCGGAAUGUGUAGGGUGGGUUCUGCUCCUCCCGUGCUCAUCUCCUCUCGCCCUCCUCCGGUGAUUCAGACGGUCUCGGGAUGGCAGAUGUCCUGCGAUCCGUUUGUGCCUGUGAUGCGCGCUGCCGCCGCGGAACCCGCGACCAUCAGUCAGUUCAGUCUGCCCAGUGUUCAGUGGGAGAUCCCGUCCAGGCCUCAUGUGUUGGGUUUCCAACCUUCUGCAAGUGUGGAUCUACUUCCAGUGUUUCCUCAUGUAUACCGGAGAGUCCUGCCUCCACAUUACGGCAAGGGCUGGGUGGAGAAACGUGUGCCUGACUACAAGUUUUAUCUAAACAACACCUUAGCUCUUGAGACCACCUGGAUCAGUCCAGAGGAAAUGGGAAUUUUCCAGCAUCAGGAAAAGCCACUGCUGCGGACAAAUCAAACAGCGUUGAGCAUAUGUAGGCCAGCUGCAGCCUCCAGGAAUAUCCACACUCUACUUUUGACACCCAGGCGCGUUUCAGGUUGUCCCGUGUCCAUUAAGCGAGUAGGAAGUUCUAAACGGAUCGCUCUGGCAGCAGCAGCCAUGAUGGCGAUGGAUUCUGACGUGACACAGGGACCAUCUGUCUCUUCUGCUCACCCUCUCCACCUGCUCUCGCUCUCACCCAUCAAGAUUCCCUUUCUGACAGCACCUCACGCAGGAACACGGAGAAGCUGGGAAGGCUUGCUGGGACCCGUCUUGCCCUCUCGGAUCACAGCAGUAACAUCACUCACUGCUCCUGGAGUGACCCUACUUACUGGAAACUGGAAAAAGCAGAGAUCAACAGAUAAGAUUUUGGAAUUGAAGAAGCCAUCCUGCACAGACGCCUUAGUGCUCCGCCGUAAUCCAAACCCAGAGGCUAAAACUGAGGAUGGGGCUUUUAAAGUCAGUAUGGACGAGGACAGCUCACUCAAAGACAAGCGGCCAGUUGCAUCUUCGCCUAUACCUGGAUCACCAUGGUGUGUAGUGUGGACAGGUGACGACAGGGUGUUUUUCUUCAAUCCCACCAUGCAUUUGUCAGUAUGGGAGAAACCAAUUGAUCUGAAAGACCGUGGAGACCUCAAUCGAAUCAUCGAGGACCCGCCACAUAAACGCAAGAAAGACUCUUCAGACGAUGGCUCAAAUGCUGAUGCUGAUGAUGACGAUGAUGAUGAAGAGGAACAUAGUUUAAAGACCAAACGCUAUAAACUGGACCAUCCUGUUGAGUGUGAAGGAAAAAAUGGAUCAUCUCUUCGGAUGGUUUUGCCACUGGAGCACCGGAUCGGCCACUUCAGAGACAUGCUUCUGGAAAGAGGGGUGUCUGCGUUCUCCACCUGGGAGAAAGAACUGCACAAAAUUGUAUUUGAUCCACGGUACCUGCUGCUAAGUCCAGAAGAACGAAAGCAGAUUUAUGAUCAGUUUGUCAAAGCAAGAAUGAAAGAGGAGCACAAAGAGAAAAAGUGCAAACUCCAGCAAGCGAAAGAAGAGUACAGAAAACUGCUAGAGGAAUCAAAAGUCACAUCCAGGUCGACGUUCAAAGAAUUUUCAGAAAAGUACGGAAAAGAUCCACGAUUCAAACAGGUUCUGAAGAGGAAAGACCAGGAGCUGUUUUUCACCCAGUUCAUCAACGUGUUAAAGAAGCGGGACAAGGAGAACAGAAUUCGUCUGAAGAAGAUGAGAUGAGUGUUUGCAGACAGGGCUGUGAACUUAGUUCCUGUGACUGUUUAUCACAGUUUAUACCGUGAUACCAUCUGCCCACAUGUCUGACCAAACCACAAGGGCAGUUUGCUUUUCAAUGACUUGACUUUUGAACAAACGAACAAAGGCAAAACCAACUGAGUAUAAGCAGCAGUUUGGAAAUGAAGUCUGUAUAUCUGAAUGUGUUUCAUAUUGAAGCUCUUAAACUCCGGUUUGAGUAUUACAAGUUUCCUAAAUCACAACACUGAAUACAAAUACAGAGUUUGACUCGUUGGAAGUAUCUAAAGCCAUUGACCUGUGCACACAGGUGGAAAAUGAUUUUUAUAUUAAUUGUACAUAAGUGUUGACUUGCCUGGCGCUGUGCUAAAAGUGACCCAUUUUGUCAGAGUGUGACACAGGUUCUCCACAGCAUCUGUGAGAAUUGGUGGGGAAAAAAAACAACAGAAUUUGAUGUAAACUGCAAAAUGCAAACUUGAACCUGCAAGAAGAAGAAGAAAAAAAAAUUCUCAUUUUAAAUCUCACGUACGUAUACAUAUACGUAUGUUAUCAUGUUGACAUUUUUCACAGUGUUAAAUUAUUAUUUUUUUAAUUAAAUAAAAAAGUCAUUUUUACUGUAAUACCUCAGUUAAGAGCUUUCAAUCUGCAAACAUUUUAUUCAUAAUCAUUUUUGUUGAUAUUCAAAUAAGUUGUAUUGUGGAAGAGUAAAAAAAAAGUGAUUUUCAAAUAAACAAAUUUCUGAUUAUACAUGUAUUAAACAUGACUCUAGCAAAUGCUCACACAAUCUUCCAGGCCACAGAAAACAUUAACGGUUCCUUCAUUAACUUUGACACACCAGAAGAAAUGCAGGCUUAAUAUUCAAUAUCAUGUGUUCCUAGAUGUUUCAGACAAAAUUAGAAUUUGAUGUGCCUAAUUAAUUGUUGAUAAAUAUUUGUUGCAGUGCACACAUUUGUCACAUUAACAAAAACUAUUUCUCAGGCAUCAAAUUUAAAACAUGAUCACUCUUUUGUAUACACACUCUUGUUUGGAUUGCCAUGUUCAUACUGUUUUUGGAAAGGACAUUGGGUGUCUUCAGUGAAGCACUUUGGUUUAACGUUGUGGCCUGUUUUCAGCUGUAUUGCUUGCAAACACAAAGCUCAAAUAACCAACAACAAAGACUGUGUUUCAAUAGCAGCACCAUUAUUACUUUAACACCAGAGACAAUAAGACAAAAAAGGCUGAAUAUGUAAUCAACAUGAUACUAAGGCUGAAAAUAAACUUGCAUUUUUUUUUUU